rnacentral:lncRNA from 1 species
ACUCCUCUGCAAUAUCCUCCAAGCUCAUUCCCUCCUUUUGUUGUAUGAAUCCUUCAGCGAUCCAGAGACGAACCAAUUUCCACACUGGGAUUUGGCAAUCUUCUGGAAACAUCCCGAAGUAGAGAAAGCAUGCUCUCAAGUAAUAAGGUAAGUGAUUAAAACUCAAAGUUAUAAAACUGUCCAUACGUUUCUCCUGAUCCAUGGCAAUAUACGCAUCCACACUUUGAGCAACCUUUUCCCACCAAUAACUUUCAGUACCUUUUUCCAAUAGAAUUCCUCCAAUCACCACUAGUGCGAGCGGUAGUCCGCCACAUUCUCUGGCUAUAAGCCUUCCAGGUUGUAUCAACUCCUUAGGGCAUUCCUCUGCACCAAGUGCCUUUCUUUGGAGUAAUAUCCAACUUUCAUCAGAAUUUAGAAAACGCAAAUUAUGGGGCUCCCUGUUGGGGUUGGCAUGCACAGCCACUCUCCUGAUACGACUAGUCAGUAAUAUUUUGCUUCGCUUCUUAUUUCUGGGAAAAGCAAUUUUGAGAUCAUUCCAGGCAUCUUCAGUCCAGACAUCAUCCAUGACAAUUAAAUACUUCCCUUUCUCCAGGAAUUCACGAAGUUCCUUAGCUAUUUUUUCAUCAUUCAUCUUAUACAUCUCAUCACUUGGCUUAGCAAAAUGACUCCAAAUAUUGAGAAACACUUCCUUUCUAUUAUAUUCUUGAGAAACAUAAACCCAUGCUCGGUUAUAGAAUUCAUAUUCAAUUUUAGGAUCACGAUAUAUCAUUUUUGCCAGUGUUGUCUUUCCAAGGCCAGGCAUGCCAAUAAUUGAUAUAACUUCGAGUUCAUCAGGUCCUCCCAUGAGUAGAUUAGUAACAGUUUUUGCCUCAUCUUCAAAUCCCACCACAUUGUCUUCCUCUACAAUGGGAGCCUAUAUUAUAGUGAAAAAUGUUUAUUUCAGAAUCACAAAUAAUUAAAGAAUUGAUUUAAGGUUGUUCAUCUAAUUCUACUCAAUAUCUGAAAUAUCUAAAAGAUGAGUUCCUACCUUUUAGCUGGUGUCAUUUGAGAAUUUCAGAAAGUUCUCAGUUAUACAUUUCGGAAAAAUUUUACGCACUAGACUACAAAUAAGUUUCAAUAGUAUGCAAGAUAAUAGCAAGAAAACUCCUGCCUGCAGAACUUGUUAUCUUGGACUUCUACUUCGUACAACAGAAUUCAGAAUCACAUUAAGGAAUAUGAUUCAUGUCCAUACUUAGCGAUGGAGCAUGUAAAAAGAUAAGUUUUAUGUACAUUCAGAAAAAAGAAACUUGGAAAUCCUAACAAUUGUUUGACAUACCAGUUUAGUAAUAAAAAGGAAAGUUUUUUAUGGUGCACCAAUUUUGAAGAAUUAAUUCAAUCUGGAUCUUCAUAUAAAAUUUUGCUCCUUGAGUUCUCAAUGGUAGUACAAUUAUGAAGCCAGGAGAGUAACUAGAUUAAAAAAUGUUUUACCUGUGAAGGAAGCAUUUUUGAGCUCGAAGGAAUGGAGGUCAUUGAUCUGGAGGAUAAACGGAGAGCUUAAAUACAAUGCCUUUGUUGCCUUGCUUCUCAGCCUCAUCUUUCAUCGUUUUCUUAUACUGCUGGAUUUUCCGGGCAGAAGCAGCAGCUGAUUUGGUGGUACAGUACAAGUCAAUUAUCUGGAGGCUUAAAACAUCUGCAAGGCUGACUGGGACUGCUUCGAGGCUAGUGCAGUGUUUAAGAUAAAGACUCCUGAGUCUUGGGAAGUGAUGAGUCAAAGCAUGCCAAUGAACUAAAUCUGUCCUUCCAAUAAACAAGACUUUGAGAGCACGGAAACCUCCAUCCUCCGGCUGCCACCACUCUCCCUUAAAUGCAUUGUCUUUCAACUUUAGGAUCUCAAGGCUUUCCAACAUUCCCAAUGUAGCCAUUUGACUCCAAUCAAGAAGGGUGUCUGCCAGUGUUAGUUUCUUUAGCUUUGGUGGAAAUUUAUACCUUUGGGGAAGGCCAGCUAGUUUGCCUUCCGAAGGAGGCAAAGGAAAUACAUCAUUUAAUAGCUUCAAAUUUUCAAGGUAAUCCAAUUUUCCCAGGCUAUCAAACAAACUCGACACACCUUUGGGUUCCAAAAGUUUAGCUAAUUUGCCACGAAUACCCAAUUUCUUUAGGUUUGGAGCUCUGGCAAAUACAUCUUCUGUACAACUUUCAGGUGAGAUUGUAGAAAUUGUUUUUAGGUUAGCAUUUAUCAGGGAAUCAUCUUUACUUUUUCUUGAUUUAGCAAGAGGACCAUGUAAAAAUGUGGAUGCAUUUGUUUUUAGAUGCCUCAGUUGUAUCAUCUUCCAUAUAUCUCCUUUGAUUUCAAGGGUUCGUUCUGAAGUCUCAACUAUAAGAGUUUGCAUGUUCCAAAGGCUAGAAAUGGGAGAAGGAAGGAUCUUGAAAUUGCUGGACAGAACAAGAUACCUCAAAUGAACGAGUUGAGCUAGAUCAGUAGGAAAACGAGUGAAAAAAAUGGGUUUAGCAUCUAAAACCCUGAGCAAUUUAAAUGCUCCAGGGAUGGAGGAAGUGUGUUCAGCUUGCAGAAUAAUUUCUUCAGAAGAGAAACACAAGAAAGACCGAACACGUGGACCAAAUGGUUUUGAAGAGAUAUAACUCCAAACACGGGAAUGAAUGCAAAGGCGACGAUACGAUUCCAAGUAAGGAUUGGAAGACGAAUAGGUAACUUGAUCAAACCGUUUAAUUUCUUGGAAGAAGUUUUCCUCUGCAGCUUGAUUCUUGCAGAACACGUGUAGCAUGUCAUGAACAUGGCAUGUUUUAACUUUUCCAUUUGACCUCCGUUCUCCAACCAUGACUAAAUUCCUGUUGACAAGAUCGUCUAAGUACUCCUCCGCAAUAUCCUCCAAGCUCAUUCCCUCCUUUUGUUGUAUGAAUCCUUCAGCGAUCCACAGGCGAACCAAUUUCCACACUGGGAUUUGGCAAUCUUCUGGAAACAUCCCGAAGUAGAGAAAGCAUGCUCUCAAGUAAUAAGGUAAGUGAUUAAAACUCAAAGUUAUAAAACUGUCCAUACGUUUCUCCUGAUCCAUGGCAAUAUAUGCAUCCACACUUUGAGCAACCUUAUCCCACCAAUAACUUUCAGUACCUUUUUCCAGUAGAAUUCCUCCAAUCACCACUA